AAGUUUAUUUUAAUCACACGCGCACUAGGACGAUUUAGAAGAAUGCAGAAUGUUUAGAAGAAUGCAGAAUGUUUAGAAGAAUGGGUUUAUUUUAUUGUUGGAUUGGUCUUGAUUUGCAACAUGUAUUUCCAUACCAUUCAGACUAUGCAUUGCUCAAUGAUAGAGUUCUCUCCUAUCUCUGAAAGUUUGUAACCGCUGUGCUGAAUCACAUAAAUUAAGUCUUUGAUACAGCGUCAAAUAUUUUAAGAAAAGAAAGCGGCAGUUAUAAUACAACUAUAGUAAAUAUUUCGUGUUUUGAGAAGUCUAUUUUUAUGAAAAGAUUGUGAACUGAAUUUAUAAGCUUUAUAGUUUAUGAAAGGAAACACAAGAAUGUUUAAAUUUCCGAAUCAUUACAAAUUUUUGCAAUUUAGUUACAAAUCGUUACAAGAAAAGAACAGCUUUUAAUAGUAAGUCAUCAUGAAGGAGAUAUGAAGUCAACAAAAGGGUUAUUAAAGAACUUUUCUUUUGUUAGAAAGAAGAUAACUUAGCCGGUGAUCCAACACAUUUUGCUUUAUAAAAAUGAACAGUUAAAAAAAGAAAACUAUGUCUAUUUUUGCUUUUCUGUACUGAUACCAGAAAUAAAUAAAAAUGUCUUCAACC